CUAAGCCAUGCGAGUCAUUGUAGCAAUACAAGGCAGACGGCUCAGUAACGCGUAGUCAAUCUACCCUAUGGACGGGAAUAACCUCGGGAAACUGAGAAUAAUGCCCGAUAGAACAUUAUACCUGGAACGGUUUAUGUUUCAAAUGAUUUAUCGCCGUAGGAUGGGACUGCGGCCUAUCAGUUUGUUGGUGAGGUAAUGGCCCACCAAGACUAUUACAGGUACGGGCUCUGAGAGGAGUAGCCCGGAGAUGGGUACUGAGACACGGACCUAGGCCCUAUGGGGCGCAGCAGGCGAGAAAACUUUGCAAUGUGCGAAAGCACGACAAGGUUAAUCCGAGUGGUUUCUGCUAAAGAAACCUUUUGCUAGUCCUAGAAACACUAGUGAAUAAGGGGUGGGCAAGUUCUGGUGUCAGCCGCCGCGGUAAAACCAGCACCUCAAGUGGUCAGGAUGAUUAUUGGGCCUAAAGCAUCCGUAGCCCGUUUUGUAAGUUUUCGGUUAAAUCCAUACGCUCAACGUAUGGGCUGCCGGGAAUACUGCAUAACUAGGAAGUGGGAGAGGUAGACGGUACUCGGUAGGAAGGGGUAAAAUCCUUUGAUCUAUUGAUGACCACCUGUGGCGAAGGCGGUGUACCAGAACACGUUCGACGGUGAGGGAUGAAAGCUGGGGGAGCAAACCGGAUUAGAUACCCGGGUAGUCCCAGCUGUAAACUAUGCAAACUCAGUGAUGCAUUGGCUUGUGGUCAAUGCAGUGCUGCAGGGAAGCCGUUAAGUUUGCCGCCUGGGAAGUACGUACGCAAGUAUGAAACUUAAAGGAAUUGGCGGGGGAGCACCACAAGGGGUGAAGCCUGCGGUUCAAUUGGAGUCA
rnacentral:rRNA from 1 species